rnacentral:misc_RNA from 1 species
CGUGAGCACCUUGUUGAGC